AGGGGGUUUGAUCAUGGGCUCAGAGUGAACGCUGGCGGCGUGGAUUAGGCAUGCAAGUCGAGCGAUUCUUGUUGAAUUUUUACUGGAGUGCUUGCACAAAGGUAAAAAUUUAACGCGGGAUAGCGGCAAACGGGUGAGCAAUGCGUGAACAACUUUCCUUUAAGACAGGAAUAGCUUCGUGAAAACGGAGGUAAUGCCUGAUAGUACGUGACCAUCGCAUGGUGGUCUCGUUAAAGGUGGGGACCGUAAGGCCUGCCGCUUAAAGAUGGGUUCGCGUCCUAUCAGCUUGUUGGUGAGGUAACGGCUCACCAAGGCAUUUGACGGGUAGCUGGUCUGAGAGGAUGACCAGUCACACUGGGACUGAGACACUGCCCAGACUCCUACGGGAGGCUGCAGUCGAGAAUAUUUAGCAAUGGACGAAAGUCUGACUAUGCGACGCCGCGUGAGGGAUGAAGGUUUUCGGAACGUAAACCUCUUUUGUUAGGGAAGAACACGUAAUGGUUAAUAUCCAUUGCGCUGACGGUACCUAGCGAAUAAGCCACGGUCAACUCCGUGCCAGCAGCCGCGGUAAUACGGGAGGUGGCAAGCGUUACUCGGAAUCAUUGGGUGUAAAGGGCAAGUAGGCUGACCUGACAAGUGAGGGGUUGAAUUCUCCGGCUCAAUCGGAAAACUGCCUUUCAACUAUCAGGAUUGAGGUA
rnacentral:rRNA from 1 species